rnacentral:rRNA from 1 species
AGCGUACACGGUGGAUGCCCUGGCAGUCAGAGGCGAUGAAGGGCGUGCUAAUCUGCGAUAAGCGCCGGUAAGGUGAUAUGAACCGUUAUAACCGGCGAUACCCGAAUGGGGAAACCCAGUGUGACUCGUCACACUAUCAUUAACUGAAUCCAUAGGUUAAUGAGGCGAACCGGGGGAACUGAAACAUCUAAGUACCCCGAGGAAAAGAAAUCAACCGAGAUUCCCCCAGUAGCGGCGAGCGAACGGGGAGGAGCCCAGAGCCUGAAUCAGCAUGUGUGUUAGUGGAAGCGUCUGGAAAGGCGCGCGAUACAGGGUGACAGCCCCGUACACAAAAGCGCAUGUGCUGUGAGCUCGAUGAGUAGGGCGGGACACGUGGUAUCCUGUCUGAAUAUGGGGGGACCAUCCUCCAAGGCUAAAUACUCCUGACUGACCGAUAGUGAACCAGUACCGUGAGGGAAAGGCGAAAAGAACCCCGGCGAGGGGAGUGAAAAAGAACCUGAAACCGUGUACGUACAAGCAGUGGGAGCACCCUUUGGGUGUGACUGCGUACCUUUUGUAUAAUGGGUCAGCGACUUAUAUUCUGUAGCAAGGUUAACCGAAUAGGGGAGCCGGAGGGAAACCGAGUCUUAAUUGGGCGUUAAGUUGCAGGGUAUAGACCCGAAACCCGGUGAUCUAGCCAUGGGCAGGUUGAAGGUUGGGUAACACUAACUGGAGGACCGAACCGACUAAUGUUGAAAAAUUAGCGGAUGACCUGUGGCUGGGGGUGAAAGGCCAAUCAAACCGGGAGAUAGCUGGUUCUCCCCGAAAGCUAUUUAGGUAGCGCCUCGUGAAUUCAUCUCCGGGGGUAGAGCACUGUUUCGGCUAGGGGGCCAUCCCGGCUUACCAACCCGAUGCAAACUGCGAAUACCGGAGAAUGUUAUCACGGGAGACACACGGCGGGUGCUAACGUCCGUCGUGAAGAGGGAAACAACCCAGACCGCCAGCUAAGGUCCCAAAGUCAUGGUUAAGUGGGAAACGAUGUGGGAAGGCCCAGACAGCCAGGAUGUUGGCUUAGAAGCAGCCAUCAUUUAAAGAAAGCGUAAUAGCUCACUGGUCGAGUCGGCCUGCGCGGAAGAUGUAACGGGGCUAAACCAUGCACCGAAGCUGCGGCAGCGACACUGUGUGUUGUUGGGUAGGGGAGCGUUCUGUAAGCCUGUGAAGGUGUGUCGUGAGGCAUGCUGGAGGUAUCAGAAGUGCGAAUGCUGACAUAAGUAACGAUAAAGCGGGUGAAAAGCCCGCUCGCCGGAAGACCAAGGGUUCCUGUCCAACGUUAAUCGGGGCAGGGUGAGUCGACCCCUAAGGCGAGGCCGAAAGGCGUAGUCGAUGGGAAACGGGUUAAUAUUCCCGUACUUGGUGUUACUGCGAAGGGGGGACGGAGAAGGCUAUGUUGGCCGGGCGACGGUUGUCCCGGUUUAAGCGUGUAGGCUGGUUUUCCAGGCAAAUCCGGAAAAUCAAGGCUGAGGCGUGAUGACGAGGCACUACGGUGCUGAAGCAACAAAUGCCCUGCUUCCAGGAAAAGCCUCUAAGCAUCAGGUAACAUCAAAUCGUACCCCAAACCGACACAGGUGGUCAGGUAGAGAAUACCAAGGCGCUUGAGAGAACUCGGGUGAAGGAACUAGGCAAAAUGGUGCCGUAACUUCGGGAGAAGGCACGCUGACACGUAGGUGAAGUGAUUUACUCAUGGAGCUGAAGUCAGUCGAAGAUACCAGCUGGCUGCAACUGUUUAUUAAAAACACAGCACUGUGCAAACACGAAAGUGGACGUAUACGGUGUGACGCCUGCCCGGUGCCGGAAGGUUAAUUGAUGGGGUCAGCGCAAGCGAAGCUCCUGAUCGAAGCCCCGGUAAACGGCGGCCGUAACUAUAACGGUCCUAAGGUAGCGAAAUUCCUUGUCGGGUAAGUUCCGACCUGCACGAAUGGCGUAAUGAUGGCCAGGCUGUCUCCACCCGAGACUCAGUGAAAUUGAACUCGCUGUGAAGAUGCAGUGUACCCGCGGCAAGACGGAAAGACCCCGUGAACCUUUACUAUAGCUUGACACUGAACAUUGAGCCUUGAUGUGUAGGAUAGGUGGGAGGCUUUGAAGUGUGGACGCCAGUCUGCAUGGAGCCGACCUUGAAAUACCACCCUUUAAUGUUUGAUGUUCUAACGUGGACCCGUUACCCGGGUUGCGGACAGUGUCUGGUGGGUAGUUUGACUGGGGCGGUCUCCUCCUAAAGAGUAACGGAGGAGCACGAAGGUUGGCUAAUCCUGGUCGGACAUCAGGAGGUUAGUGCAAUGGCAUAAGCCAGCUUGACUGCGAGCGUGACGGCGCGAGCAGGUGCGAAAGCAGGUCAUAGUGAUCCGGUGGUUCUGAAUGGAAGGGCCAUCGCUCAACGGAUAAAAGGUACUCCGGGGAUAACAGGCUGAUACCGCCCAAGAGUUCAUAUCGACGGCGGUGUUUGGCACCUCGAUGUCGGCUCAUCACAUCCUGGGGCUGAAGUAGGUCCCAAGGGUAUGGCUGUUCGCCAUUUAAAGUGGUACGCGAGCUGGGUUUAGAACGUCGUGAGACAGUUCGGUCCCUAUCUGCCGUGGGCGCUGGAGAACUGAGGGGGGCUGCUCCUAGUACGAGAGGACCGGAGUGGACGCAUCACUGGUGUUCGGGUUGUCAUGCCAAUGGCACUGCCCGGUAGCUAAAUGCGGAAGAGAUAAGUGCUGAAAGCAUCUAAGCACGAAACUUGCCCCGAGAUGAGUUCU